AUCUUAGUGCACGGGCGUUACGCAUGUCAGUGAGGAUUCGUCCGAGACUGCGUUUUUGCUAGUUGAAAACUAUAACUAUGACCACUCCUAUUUGGCUUCGGCUGGGUAGGGAAUUUUUGGCACAACACGCGACCUCUUGUC
rnacentral:snRNA from 1 species